CCCCCUGAAUUUAAGCAUAUUAAUUAGGGGAGGAAAAGAAACUAACCAGGAUUUUCUUAGUAGCGGCGAGCGAAAAGAAAUCAGUUCAGCACUAAGUCACUUUGUCUAUAUGGCAAACGUGAGAUGCAGUGUAUGGAGCGUCAAUAUUCUAGUAUGAGAAAUUAACGAUUUAAGUCCUUCUUAAAUGAGGCCAUUUACCCAUAGAGGGUGCCAGGCCCGUAUAACGUUAAUGAUUACUAGAUGAUGUUUCCAAAGAGUCGUGUUGCUUGAUAGUGCAGCACUAAGUGGGUGGUAAACUCCAUCUAAAACUAAAUAUAACCAUGAGACCGAUAGUAAACAAGUACCGUGAGGGAAAGUUGAAAAGAACUCUGAAUAGAGAGUUAAACAGUACGUGAAACUGCUUAGAGGUUAAGCCCGAUGAACCUGAAUAUCCGUUAUGGAAAAUUCAUCAUUAAAGUUGUAAUAUUUUAACAAUAUUAUAAUAAUAGUGUGCAUUUUUUCCAUAUAAGGACAUUGUAAUCUAUUAGCAUAUAACAAAUUUAUCAUAAAAUAUGACUUAUAGUUUAUUCAAAUUAUUAUGCUUGCAUUUUAACAUAGAAUAAAUGUCAUUAAUUUGAUAAAGUGUUGAUAAAUUAAAAUUAAUACAGUGCGUUAAUUUUUCGAAAUUAUAUAAUGGCAUAAUUAUCAUUGAUUUUUGUGUUUAUUAUAUGCAUUUGUAUGAUUAACAAUGCGAAAGAUUCAGGAUACCUUCGGGACCCGUCUUGAAACACGG
rnacentral:ncRNA from 1 species